rnacentral:rRNA from 1 species
ACGAACGCUGGCGGCGUGCUUAACACAUGCAAGUCGAACGGAAAGGCCCUGCUUUUGUGGGGUGCUCGAGUGGCGAACGGGUGAGUAACACGUGAGUAACCUGCCCUUGACUUUGGGAUAACUUCAGGAAACUGGGGCUAAUACCGGAUAGGAGCUCCUGCUGCAUGGUGGGGGUUGGAAAGUUUCGGCGGUUGGGGAUGGACUCGCGGCUUAUCAGCUUGUUGGUGGGGUAGUGGCUUACCAAGGCUUUGACGGGUAGCCGGCCUGAGAGGGUGACCGGCCACAUUGGGACUGAGAUACGGCCCAGACUCCUACGGGAGGCAGCAGUGGGGAAUAUUGCACAAUGGGCGGAAGCCUGAUGCAGCAACGCCGCGUGCGGGAUGACGGCCUUCGGGUUGUAAACCGCUUUCGCCUGUGACGAAGCGUGAGUGACGGUAAUGUGUAAAGAAGCACCGGCUAACUACGUG